rnacentral:rRNA from 1 species
GNNAUUGCGCAUGGGCGAANGCCUGNCGCAGCGACGCCGCGUGGGUGACGAAGGCCUUCGGGUCGUAAAACCCUUUUCUGCGUGACGAGGAAGGACGGUAGCGCAGGAAGAAGUCUCGGCUAACUACGUGCCAGCAGCCGCGGUAAAACGUAGGAGACGAACGUUAUCCGGAGUUACUGGGCGUAAAGGGCGUGCAGGCGGCACGCUAAGUCUGUCGUGAAAGCGCUCUGGCUAAACCGGGCGAGGUCGGCGGAGACUGGCGAGCUAGAGGACGGUAGAGGCGUGUGGAAUUCCGGGUGUAGUGGUGAAAUGCGUAGAGAUCCGGAGGAACACCAGUGGCGAAGGCGACACGCUGGGCCGUACCUGACGCUAAGACGCGACAGCAUGGGGAGCGAACGGGAUUAGAAACCCCGGUAGUCCAUGCCGUAAACGAUGCCAACUAGGUGUUCGGGGGGGGAAACUCUCCUGGGUACCGCAGCCAACGCGCUAAGUUGGCCGCCUGGGGAGUACGGUCGCAAGGCUAAAACUCAAAAAAAUUGACGGA